UAGCUGGGCAGUUUACUCAGGUUAUUCAUGAGGACUCCGUCAUUAGCAGUGUGCUAUUAAUUGCUGAAUCUCUCAGGUUUGAUUUUAUUGUCACUAAAGUAUAAUAAAAUCUUAUACAGCCCAGUCCAUUUCAAGCCCUACGAUUUACACUCACUGAAGUGCCAGGACCAAAACUGCAUUCCAAAGUUGUCCCAUCUUUCUCCAUGCGCUUCCUCUCUGUUUCUGAGCAGCUGUUUCCAAGCCUGUACAGAACAAAUGCUUUAUUUGCAGAAAGUAGCAUCUGCAGGACUCAGAUGGAUAUUUAAAUGUUUAUUCUCCUGUCAUCGCACCAAAAUAAAAUAAGACAGCAUUACAAAGCAGCUACGGACAAACUGAUAUUGAAAAAUAGUAAUACAAAAUGAAGCAUCUUUCCCACUGGUGGUGGUUUCCAGUACCCUGCCUUUGUCCUUCGGAUUUAAUUAAAUCUCUCACAGAAAGCAGAAUGUGCUGGUACUUGACCUUUGUUUUCAGCAGGCUCAACACAAAAGGCAUUAGAAUCAGUGACAAUGCACAAACCCCAACGCACUCCAGUUGUCAUUCAGUGCAACACGAUACUCAUCCUUUAUAGCAUCCUUUAUAGGGAGAGACUCCGGGUUAGGAAUUGAUUCAAAUGAAGCCAUAAUCUUCUUUCCUAGGCCGCCUCCUGAAGAGCCAGGACAGCUACUCCAAGCUGAGUACACAUCAUGCAGUCCGCCAGCACUGCAAAGUGCUGCUGUUAAGGCCAUCUCUUGUUCUCACCGCAUAAACUACAUGAUUCUGUGCUCCUUAUUUGGCUUUCCUUCCUGCCCGUUACCCCAUCCCUUGGGACCAUUCUUAAUCUCCCCGCUCCCACUCCUGCUCCCCUUUACCCCUCCUCCUAGCCUCAUUUUUCUCCACACUCCUGCUUUCCAGCUGCUUUUCCCUGCGUCCCUGUCGCUUCUCUUUGCACCCACGUGGCUCUUCACAGAGCCACUUCACACUUUUGCUUUCUCUUCCCACAUUAACACUUUUUCUUUCUUUUCUCUCGCUGUGUUUUUGUUUUUUUUCUUCUCUGCUUUUGCAUUAACGCGUAGAGGCACGGAAAUCAGGAGUAAGCAGAGCUGUGUUAGUGGUAAAGAGUCACUAAUGAAAAAUGCCUGUGGGAAUUUACUGUGGAAGUGGAAGAAGCAACAAAUGCAAGCUAAUACAUCUGUGGGAAAUAAUUUCAGUGCUAUUCUAUUUCCAGACUGCCUGAACCAAGACCAGCCAGUGAAUGUCAAGUCCGCCAGAGCAUGGCCGUGCCCUUCGCUCCUCUGCAAGACAAUUUCCCAGUGAGCACAGAAGCCUCAACAACCACAUCAGACGCUCAGAUCAUGGCAUGCCACGUCGAAGACGUAGGUCAUCUCCCCAGCACCUCGAUGGAGGCGAUGUGCUGCCACCGACAUCCCCGGCUUCUCCGCACUGCGUGUUCUCACCGCUGCUGUUCUCCUCGGUCUGUCUUCAUCCAAGCUUUGACCUCUGAGUGACUUUGAAGUUUACAUACGAGAAAAAACAGUCGGGCAGCUGCUAAAACAAGCAAGGAGGGAUCAAAGGGUUCAGAAAGAAUUAAAAACAAACGGCUUUUAUCUUUUUCUUUUGUGUUUACCAAUACAUUAACAGACACAGACAGAUGGAGAGAUACACAAACACGUAUACAUAUAUUUAAAUGGCAAAGUCCAGAAAUUACUGUAAAAGAAUAUUGCUUAGAUUAGCACAGCUGAACACUGAAGGAGAAGGAAAUUAGGAAAAUUAGGAAAUACCAGAUUGAGAUUGCUAUGCUAAUUUAUUUCUGCCACUGGGCGUGAUUAUCCUGUUGUACAGCAUGAGGCAUGCAUCCUGUGGGAAAGUCUGCAGUUCGGCGGUGUCGUGGACGAGUCUGUGAGAACACACGUGUGCCAGGCCAGGGACUGCAAAGAGAAUUUUAAAUCUGCUCUUUUCUGACGUGUCAAGAACUGGCUCUGUGAGUUAACUGGUGCUGUGCUACCAAGUGGGGCGCAGGAACCGGAUGCCCUAGCUUUUUUAUUAAGGAGAAGAAAGCUGAAGGAGGGCAGUCCCUGCAGCACAGAUAGGGAAUCCCACAUUCUUGCUAUUUAUUUGGUAACACAAGCUGAGUUUUCAGGCACUUAUUCCUUCAGUUUAGGGGUGGAGGUGCGAUAAGCGGGAGUCAUUUGAUCCACAUCCUGCAACUGGAAGUCUGGUGAGAAGAAAUCAGGUUUUGUCUCUUCUACCUUACAAAACCUUCCUAACCCUUUUCUCUAUGUAGUCUGCUCCAGAAACGUGAUCCCACUUUAGCAGCAUACUUUUUCCUAGCACUCCGUUGCCCACCGCUGUUGCGGUGUCAAUGAGAACGCCGCUCCGUAAAGCAGUGCGGUUGGCGAGCUGUCCUGGCAGCCUGCCCUGACCUUUGGUGGAGAAACCAACCCGAGGAAGGCCACGGUAGUUUCCGGCAGUUAACAUUUCAAUGAGUGUCACACUGAAAUUCACAGAGCACGGGAAAAAAACUGUCUCUGAGAUGAAUGGCUGUGCCAUCCAAAGGCUGCUGAAAAGAAAGAUGUUAACCUUCCCAAAAGAUCUUAAGCUACCCAGGUAUCUAAAAGACAUCCUACAGAUACCGUACAAGUAUGAAUCACAACUGAAAACAAUGCUUUUAUUGAAGGUAAAGCUCUAAUGCUUCCUCAGAGGUUUCUGGUUUUUGCUAAGAUCCCUCUGCCCUGCCCAGUCUGAGCUCUGCAAUGCUCAGUGACUUGGGGCAGAGCAACCCAGGGGCGGGCUGUCCUGUCCUUUGGCAUCACAUAUACAGUUACAGUCGUUUCCACAGCCAACUAAUUCAAACCUACUUUCCUAUGUGCUUAAACAGUGCUAAACUGUCUUUAAAGGAUAACAGUGAUUCACUCUCUUGUAGAAGGAGGCACAUCCUACUAAAUGACAGCUCUCUGCGUGUCAUUUUGCCUCUCCGCCAUUGAUAAUCCACAGUCUCUCAUAUAAGGCCUGUGACCUUAAUCAAUUACUAAAAGGGCCCUUUUGGACACAUGAAAAUACAUUUCCCUGUUUUUUUUUUUUGUUUGUUUUUUUCUGUAAUGCUGAAUUUCACAGUUUGUUACAAUGGCCCUUGUAGAUCAGAGUAUAGCCAUAAACAGAAGUAGAAUCAUCCCUGAGGUAUUCGCCUCACAGUUCGAAGCAGUCUGUAUACAGCUAUCUUCUCUAUCUAUCCCUUGGGCAUAAAGGCAGUAAAAGAAUUCCUAAAGGAAAGGAAAUUGCAUUGGUCAAGAUCAAAUUGCAAGUAUGCGCAAUUGGAUGUACUGACAACUGGCCACCAGAUAUCGCUGCAGGAGGCUUGCCAGCACAUUCAUUGUCCCAGAGACUGGAAUCUGGUGUUUAACAAACAUCUCCUCCUAGGUGUAGUUGUGGGAUGGAAGUUAUGACAGUUGCAAAGAUUGCUGGUCUUACUGAAUGUGCAGUAAUGAGCAGUGUUGAGGGAAACCCAGAUUUUAAAUGAAGAUCUCCCCUACUUGCUAGCAUUGGUAGGGAUGCUGCAUGGAUACGGAGUUCAGAUGCAUAGCUUCAGUAUAUUGAGCCAGCGCAGGCCUCCAAGCUUAUCUUUGGGGCUUGAAAUGAACUCAGGACAGUGUGCACAGCAUAACGAAGCUGACCUUGUGUACAACAGCUCAGAGCUGUAUUUUGCUGUCUUUGCUUGGAAGUUAAAGCACAGCCUUUGCACCAGCAGUAAGUUCUGAGCAUUUUUUGUUUGUUUGUUUUGGAACCAAAAGCAGCAGAGCACAUUUUGUGCAUUCACUCAUUUGAAACCUGUCCAACUCCCAAUGGAGGAACAAGAAAAUGGAUGGGUUUGGGGAAGCCUGCAGUACUUGCAGUACAUGGCAGUCACCUCCCAACAUUCAGAUGGAUAAUUUCUGUGUACAUAAGCAGUGUUGCUGGUGCUUUCUGUUGCUGUUUUUGAGCUGUCCUAGAGUACACAGGAAAGGAUGGUAAGACAUGAAGGAGGCACAUUGCCAGUUCUGCAAGCUGCCAAUCAUCAGCUCACAUCUCGAGACAUAAGAAGCAAUUUUAUUUACUGUCUUCUGAAGCAAAGACAUCCCUCAGCAGUCCACUAAGCACACUUCUGGUGAGCAAGAUGUUUGCACAUCCUAAUCUGGCACUGGUUAGGCAGUUAUUCAGCCCCCCAGCACUGAGCAGUGUACGCACAUAACGAGAAAACAUAUCCCUCCAUAUAGGACAAAACAAUUCUCACUUUGAUCACUAGGAUUUUCUCCCAGAUAUUAAGAAAACUCUGGCUAAUUGCUGACUGCAUGCAUCUACUCUCAUGGGAGGAGAAAUAGCCUCACAGCAGCCAAAUAAUUCUUUUCUGAAGGGUGAAUGACUCUGCCUUUCUCUGUAAUAUUUCUUCUUUCCACUGGAUUGGGAAGAAUCCUUCUAAACAUGUGCUGAAACAUCUGCUUUGUUGAAGUCAGUGAUGUGGGAAUGAUACAAAUGGGUUUAGCUUCUGCUUUUGGGUGGAGAAGGUCAAAUGACUGACUAGGGAACACUCGCAUUAUCCAACAAAUAUCCCAUAUACCUUGGAUUACUGAAGCAUGUAGGUGACCAGCAUUUCCCAUAGGCACCAAUGAACACUUAAGCCCUUUUCCUGUGAUAUUCUUAAUUUUCUAUCAAUAUUCUUCUGAAAUAAAAUUCAGUAGCUGUUUAUCAUUAUAUCAUUCUUCAUUGUUACAAAAGUAAUCCAGGAUGGGAUGCAUGGAUUUCCUUCUUUCCUGAAGAUGUUGCUAUAUUUCUUAUGGUGUUCCUUGACAAAAUUCUGGGAAACAAAGCUAAGAUCAAAUAAUACUAAAUAUUAUUGGUAAAACAUGAAGAUUCCAAAACAGAAGAACUGCUGGACUGCUCUAAAGCUGAGUCUUCACCAUGGUUACAUUCAGGCAGCUAGAAACAGCGUGGGCUCCAAGGCUCGGCAUGUUGUGAGGGUGAUGAGCAAUGGCACUCCUGUCAUGGCCCUUCCAUAACUUGCUGCUGGUAAAAGGGAGACACUUGAGUCCCCAUACAUCUCCACAGAACGCUCCAGGGAUCCCAGUGGAUCUCUCAGCACCUUCAGCCAAAGCAAGGCCCCGGCAGCAUGGAGCUCAGCCUGAUGCAGGCUGGACGAGUCCAUCCUGGAGCCCAGCUGCCCAAGGUAAAGGCUUUGUGGACACUGGGAAACAUUUUGUUUCUAACAGCCAGGAAAAUAUAUUGACAUUUGUCUUUGGUUCUGGUGCCAAGGUACAUUUUGGCCAUCCCUCUGGGAGGUGAAGGGGGGUGAUGGGUGUAAAGGUCUUGCGUUUUAUCACCAUAACUUACCCCAUCCUAGACUGCACAGAACAAAGAGAGGAAAAUGUCAUUUCUGCCAGGUUUCUUAUUCACCACAAAUGACAUUCCCUUAGGCUGAAUCGAGGAUGAGUGAAGGAAUCUGAGGUUGAGCAAGAAAAUUUGAGGAACACAGCUGUAUUGCUGCAGUGAGCAGAGGUGAGCAGAGAAAUGAGGCACUGAUCUUAGUCACUUCCCGUACUUUAUAGGACAGAAAUACAGAGGAGGUGCCCUAGAGGCCUAGAACAGACUAAGGUCUGUUGAGUCUGUGAACACAGUUUGGCUAUGUGGCAAUAUUCCAGCCUUAAAAGAGGUGCAUGUGCCCACCCUCCUGUUUGCUUUCCCUUACAGAAGAUGUUGGCUUGGGUCAGUCUCUGUGCAGACAAGUUUGGUGAGGGCUGCUUAGCCUGGGACACUGGCAUGGUUGAGGAUAGCUGCUGAGUGAAGGACAUUGGUCACUUUGAGCAAAACACUACUUACCCCUUUCUCACCGCUUGCCUCUCUCAUUGGCACUGAAGGACAUGGGUUAGUGGGCAUUCUGGGGAUGGGCUGAUGGUGAAGACUAGAUGAACUUAGCAGUCUUUUCCAGCCUUCACGAUUCCAUUGACGCUUCAUCUCUUGAAUUCUCUCAUCUUUUCUUCUUUCUUCCAUGUGUUUCCAACAUAUGCUGGACAUUGGCCACAGCAGCUUCUUCUCUCACAUGUGCCUUGUUUGCUUUUUUUCAUGGGCAUCAAAUCACUCCAGCGUUUGGGAUGGAAAUUGCUGCUGUUUGUACAGUCAAAAUCCCUUUUCAUGGGACUGUCUCAAGUGAGGGACAGCAGUCAGUGAAACAUAUAGCUAUUUAAAACGUAAAAUGCCCAGGUCCUUUGGAAAGCUCUUUCUGCCAAUCCUGCAGGAGAUGGAGGACACUCAGAAGGGGAGCGGUCACCACCUCCACCAGGUUGCGGCGGCAGAGCGCCCCUGCUCAUGGAGGAGAUUCCACUGUGGGAAUCUCCGGCCCGCUGAAGUUAUGCACGCAUACGCAGAGCAGACUUGGCAGCCUGAACAGGCUGUCCCUUAGGAGUAUUGACAGAUGAAUGUAAACUCAUUUACUUUGCUUUUUCAUUCCGGUCCGCGUGCUUGCGCAGUACACUAAAUACAUCAGCAUCUGGAGUCACUUUGAACAACAGGAGAAAGCAUUUUCUGGUGCCAGAAGUAUAAUUUUGUACAAUAUUUAUAACUCAUGAAAUGUCAGGAGUUUGGCUACGCUCUGUUUCCCAUCGUCAUGAAAAAAAACCCCAAAAAACACAACAAAUCAAAACCUAUGCAAAAGGAUUCUCUUUUUUUUUCCCUUUUUUUUUUCCCAUAGCUGGACGGCUCUGAGCCAUUUUGCCUAGGAGCCUUCAAAACUGAAAGAGGUAAAACCAGCUCCUGAAUUUUCCUUUACCAUUCUCCCUACCACCACCAUCUUCAGUAUCCAUUAACCCGGCUCCUCAUCGAAAGCUGAAAACACAAAAGAAGUAAACAUCAGUUAAUGAGGUUUGCACCUGGGGGUGGUAAACAAAGCUGCUCUCCUCUUGAAGGGAAACUGUCUGCUGUGGGAGAGCCAAGCCCAGCCCAAUGAGGGCAGCUCUGCCAAGGGUGGGCUGUGUGUGCAGAGAACAGGAAAGGUAUUUUCAUCUUUAGGAUUUCAGAAUCAGCCAGGGAACGGUGAGGAGAAACAUCUUCCCUAAAUGUGCCCUUCCAGUUAGAAAGUGCAUAUUUGUCUGUCCCCUCUUUCCAUCAUAGUUGGAAGUAGAAUUUGUUACUAACCGCCUUCCUUAUUGCUCCGCAGUUUGAGGCAUUCCACACCCGUAUUUUUGUCACACAUUUGUCCUGGGCUUUUGCCUCGAACUGAAAGAAUCAGCACUUUGUCUUUGACUUAAAGAAUUGAGACUUUGUCUGACGAGCAGCGACAUGGCGCACGCUAAACAAAACCAGCCUUUGUGUACCAUUGUUAUCAAAACAUUGUAACACCAGGAAACAGCUACACAAGGACUUUCCUUUGCUAUUAACUGCUGCUAUAAGACCAUAGAAGUUCAGCUCCUCUUACUUUUCAAUCCUACUGCAGUAGCCAAGUGCUUUGGUGAAGAAAGAAAUAGACCAUAAGAGGAUUUUUUUUUUUCUUACAGAAUAGUAAUGCAUGUAUUAAAAGAGCACAUUCUCACCUUACGUUCCCUUCACUUCCAUGCACACACCUGUGCUUUUGGUGCCCUGGAAGCCCCCACGACACGGUGACAAUGCUGCAUGAGCUGCUCGGUGCAAGGAGCAUCCUGCAAGGUUUCCUUCCUGUUGCCAGGCCCACUCUGCGCAGGGCUACGGUCUGAAAUAAGAGUGAGCUAUGCGGGAUCCAACCUCCCCAGGCUUGCACUGGGGGUGGGUUUCCUUCUUCUGUUCUUGUGGUGCUCAGGUGGUGUGAGGAUCGGUGCCACUGCAGGCAGUGGAGCGAAACCAAGACCGCACAAAGGAGAAUCGGGCUGUAGGUCUGCAAAACAUCCAUCCCCAUCACAGGUUUUUAUUGCUGCAAAUACAUAAAUCUUUGUAUUAGGUGACUUCAAAAGUCAUAAAGCCCUAAUUGUGCGUGCAGCCUACCACUAUGCACUGCUGAUGCAUAAAAUGCAUGUAGAUAGUGCACAAAUAAAUACGCUCAGCCUGGGCUUAAAUUUAGCGACAACCACACAAAAGAUAUCUUUAUAACUAAGAAUGGUG
ensembl:lncRNA